rnacentral:rRNA from 1 species
UACGUAGGGGGCAAGCGUUGUCCGGAAUCAUUGGGCGUAAAGAGCGUGUAGGCGGCCCGGUAAGUCCGCUGUGAAAGUCCAGGGCUCAACCCUGGGAUGCCGGUGGAUACUGUCGGGCUCGAGUCCGGAAGAGGAGUGUGGAAUUCCUGGUGUAGCGGUGAAAUGCGCAGAUAUCAGGAGGAACACCAAUGGCGAAGGCAGCUCUCUGGGCCGUGACUGACGCUGAGACGCGAAAGCGUGGGGAGCAAACAGG